GGUGGGUUGGCUCAGUGGUUAGAGCUUAUGUCUCGCAACCGAAAGGUCGCGGGAUCGUAUCCCGCUAGAGGCUG
rnacentral:tRNA from 1 species